rnacentral:rRNA from 1 species
UGGGUAGUCCGCACGAGCGCACCUCACUUUUAGUUGCCAUCAUUAAGUUGGGCACUCUGAAAAGAACUGCCAGUGAUAAGCUGGAGGAAGGUGGGGAUGACGUCAAGUCCUCAUGGCCCUUAUGUGUUGGGCUACACACGUGCUACAAUGGUAUCUACAACGGGAUGCAAGAACAGGCGACUCCAAGCCAAUCCUUAAAAAAUACCUCAGUUCAGAUUGUACUCUGCAACUCGAGUACAUGAAGCUGGAAUUACUAGUAAUCGUGGAUCAGCGUGCCGCGGUGAAUGCGUUCCCGGGUCUUGUACACACCGCCCGUCACUCCAUGGAAGUUGGUUCUACCUUAAGGCAAAGUGUAAAACCCUUGACCACGGUAUAAUCAGCGACUGGGGUGAAGUCGUAACAAGGUAGCCGUAGGGGAACCUGCGGCUGGAUCACCUCCUUUCU